GCCCGAGUAGCUCAGUUGGUAGAGCAGGCGACUGAAAAUCGCCGUGUCGGUGGUUCAAAUCCGCCCUCGGGCACCA
rnacentral:tRNA from 2 species